rnacentral:rRNA from 1 species
UACGUAGGGGGCAAGCGUUGUCCGGAUUUAUGGGGCGUAAAGAGCGUGUAGGCGGCUAGGUAGGUCCGUUGUGAAAACUCGAGGCUCAACCUCGAGACGUCGAUGGAAACCAUCUAGCUAGAGUCCGGAAGAGGAGAGUGGAAUUCCUGGUGUAGCGGUGAAAUGCGCAGAUAUCAGGAAGAACACCCGUGGCGAAGGCGGCUCUCUGGUACGUGACUGACGCUGAGACGCGAAAGCGUGGGGAGCGAACAGG